UUUAUGGAGAGUUUGAUCCUGGCUCAGGAUGAACGCUGGCGGCGUGCCUAAUACAUGCAAGUCGAGCGAACGGAUGAGAAGCUUGCUUCUCUAAUGUUAGCGGCGGACGGGUGAGUAACACGUGGAUAACCUACCUAUAAGACUGGGAUAACUUCGGGAAACCGGAGCUAAUACCGGAUAAUAUUUUGAACCGCAUGGUUCAAAAGUGAAAGACGGUCU
rnacentral:rRNA from 1 species